ACGAAAAAGAAAAAAGAAAAGAAAAGAAAAAUGAAAACCUCAAAGGAACUAAUGUACCAGGUUGAUGCUUGCUUUCUUGCUUUCUUUCUUUCUUUUUUUUUUUAACUUAACCAGAAUGGAUGAAAAAGAUUUAACUGCUCUCCUGUUAUGCUCCAGUGAAACUUGAGUCCACAGGCAUCUGCCAGCUCUGUAAGUUGUGAUAUGAAGACAGGGAACUACCUAUUCCCUCUUCAACAAAAACUUCUUGGUUGAAUUUGAUUCAUCUGUCAUUUGUGAAAUUAAAGACUUAGAAGAGAGAGGACCUGGCCAGAAAUUUCUGUUCCGCUCCAGUUGUACAAAAGCCUCUUCCUUCCGGCUUCCAGUGUGCAGAAGCACCGAUACAUUGUAUUUCAAAGAAGAAUGAUAGAGGAGGAAGCCUAUCAGAAUGGAGCACUAAGGCUGGCCUUAGUGAGGAAGGGCUAAGUUCCUAGUGGAGAAGCUGUGGCCCCUGCCUGGGAAGUCCACGUGGCCUUCAUCAGCCGCUGUGGUACAAAGAGGAUAGCAGCUUCAAGCCUUCAACUGGAUGGGAAAGAAAGAACUUCUGAACUCUGCUGCUACCCAGAGACAAUUAGUCAUUUGGUGAAGGACGAAAGGUGGUCUAAGAUGUUUUCCUACACCCUUUGCCAUUUUGGUAAGGACACAUUCAAAAGUGCAUGUAUGUGAUGCCUAGGGGUACUGACAACCCUCUUCCACCUUAAACUUUUCUUAGGAGAAGUAAAAAAUUCUAAAAUGAGAAAGAUCUCCCCCUCCCCCUUUUCCCAGAGGAAGAAAACUGGGAUCCAAAGGGACAAAAAGAUAGGCCCAGAGUCUCAGAACUGGCUUCUGGCAGAACAAGGGCUCUGCACUGUCAAUCAAGAGAUCAAAGGCUGAAAGUAGAGGCUGCCCGUUUGCACUCCGUUUUAUUUUAUCUUUCUGGCCUGCCUAAGGUCUACAAAGCUCCCAAAGUGGAGGUACUUGUCCCCAGAUACCAACUGCUGAACUGAAAACCUUAAAAAAGUAGAUGUUCCUAGGCCUGGGGCGGGCUGCAUUCCUGGGAAGGUGAAGGGAGGGGCCCUCACAGUGCCGCCUGAGGCAGGCGCA